rnacentral:rRNA from 1 species
GUAUAAGAGACAGCAGUAGCCGCGGGAAUACAGAGGGUGCGAGCGUUAAUCGGAUUUACUGGGCGUAAAGCGUGCGUAGGCGGCUUCUUAAGUCGGAUGUGAAAUCCCUGAGCUUAACUUAGGAAUUGCAUUCGAUACUGGGAAGCUAGAGUAUGGGAGAGGAUGGUAGAAUUCCAGGUGUAGCGGUGAAAUGCGUAGAGAUCUGGAGGAAUACCGAUGGCGAAGGCAGCCAUCUGGCCUAAUACUGACGCUGAGGUACGAAAGCAUGGGGAGCAAACAGGAUUAGAUACCCCAGUAGUCCCUGUCUCUUAUAC